AUUGAACGCUGGCGGCAGGCCUAACACAUGCAAGUCGAACGAGUGGCGGACGGGUGAGUAAUGUCUGGGAAACUGCCCGAGGGAGGGGGAUAACUACUGGAAACGGUAGCUAAUACCGCAUACCAGCGGCUGUGCCGAGAUGGGAUUAGCUAGUAGGUGGGGGAAAGGCUGACCAAGGCGACGAUCACUAGCUGGUCUGAGAGGAUGACCAGCCACACUGGAACUGAGACACGGUCCAGACUCCUACGGGAGGCAGCAGUGGGGAAUAUUGCACAAUGGGCGAAAGCCUGAUGCAGCCAUGCCGCGUGUAUGAAGAAGGCCUUCGGGUUGUAAAGUACUUUCAGCGAGGAGGCGUUACUCACAGAAGAAGCACCGGCUAACUCCGUGCCAGCAGCCGCGGUAAUAC
rnacentral:rRNA from 1 species